AAACCAAGGUCAAGGCCCGAUAAAAAGGUGAGAAAAAAUCAAACAAACACAAGCUGCGGCGCCUCUCACCCAAAAAUCCGUAACCCUAAUAACCUACAGCAGUUACCACGCCUAUAAAUCUCAUCUCAAACACUCUUCGUUCUCAUUCAUCCGGUGCUGUAGCGGCAUCUGCACAAAGCCAAGCGAAGCGUAAUUUUCCUGUUUAUUAUAUUUCUUCUCUUCCACUCAAGUUUUGUCUCCUAUUAAAAAUUUGAUAUGUUUUGUCAUCUAUUGUCGUUUUAUCAUUUAGGAUCUUAGUUUUAUUGUUUGAUAUGUAUGAUACCCAGUGAGGAGGAUCUCCCAAUAAUUGAUAGGAAGUGCCGUAUGACACUCUAAACAGCAGCUCCGUCUCAGAAUCCUCUCAUCCGCCGAUAUAUGUUAUCGGCCGAGUUUAUUCUUUGCAUGAUACCCAGUGAGGAGGAUCUCCCAAUAAUUGAUAGGAAGUGCCGUAUGACACUCUAAACAGCAGCUCCGUCUCAGAAUCCUCUCAUCCGCCGAUAUAUGUUAUCGGCCGAGUUUAUUCUUUGCGGUGCUGUGUGUGAGAUUUGAAACGGGUCUCCUGAGGGUUCAUAAUAUACAUCUUCACAUCAUUUUGUUUUUUGUUUAAUUUUUACGAAUUAGGUCCGAUGCCACGUCGGUGGUAGCUAUACGAUAGCUCUGACCUUCGAUGCUAUGAUUGGACCAAAAUCAAGAGUGAAUUUCAUUCGUUUCGCAUUCUGAUAGGAAUCUGCAAAUCUUAUAUAACGUGAUUCUGCAGAGCCGAUUUGUGCGAUUAUAUUUUGUUACUUCAUGAUUUUGAUUUUUUUAAUUGAAGCUGAUGAUGAUAAAAAUAGAACUGGAAUUACCAUCUGAAUAGUUUAUUCUUUGAUGUAAAUAUCUUGGCUGUGGUACUGAGGCUUCCAUUUGUUUUCAUAUAUGGCAUUUUCUUUUAGCUUCUUUAUAUUUAGAUACUAGGUGAAGUGUUUGAUAAUUAGUUCGGCCUAUGAUGAUUCAAUUGAAUUGGAAUUACCGUCUGAAUGUAUUUAUUUUGUUGAAAAAUUCUGGCUGUUUCUGAGGCCUUGGAUUAUAAUAUAUUGUUAAUGUUUCAUUCAUUUAACUUUCUGUAUAAUGGAUCCAAUUUUCAUUCUGUUUUAAACGUUUUUUUACGUUACACUCAAUAUAUUAAAAAUCAGGGUUGUGUUAAAUAAAAUAUUUUGAUGUUUGAUUUAGUGGUUUUAAGUGUUCGUUCCGCAUGUAUUUUAUAAGAAAUUGUUUAUUUUUAAGUUCAGAAUAAUGCUUAUAUGAUGUUUUCGAUUAUUGACCAUAUACCUUUUUUUAUAAAAAAUGGUUAGGUUAUAAAUUUAUUGACCAUAUACCAUAUACCUUUUUUUCAACUUGUGUAAUUUUUGAGUCUUUUGUUUGAGGUGUGCACAUUUUUGAGAUUCUGUUUUAGGGUUGUUAUUUUUGAGUCUUUUGUUUGAAAUUUUCUUGUUCAGCAAUAAUAAAGUGUCUCUAUUCAUAUCUUUAAGGCAUAUAGGUUAGUUUCCUUUGAUGCGUUGUGUCAAGUUAUUAGUUAUAUAAGCUUCAGAAGUGUUUUUGUUUCUUGCAUUACUUGUUAAAGUAGUAUUAUUCUAUGUGGACAUUGUUUCUUGUAUUUCAUAUUAAUAUUGUAUGUGUUUAAAUCUAUUUGUGUCCACCGAUAUAUGUUUUAGGAAUUUGAAAUAGUUGUUGAUUUGUAUUAGUUUUUUUAAAUUAAAUAAUUAAUAGAAUUGUUAUUGACUAUUACCUAAUACAUUUAUAACAUUAUUUUAUUUAAUACAUUAAUCAAAAUAAAUUAAAUGAGAAAUUUAUUAAAAUUAUGGAUGAAUUUGUGGAGUUUGUUGGUAUUCUAAAAGAACUUUGAAAAAUUGAUUGGAAAUACCACUAGAUACAAUGUUAGUUGAAGUGGAAGAUGAAAUAUUUUAGAAAAUUAAGAAAUAGGAGUGGGUGGAUUUGGUGUGAUGUACAUACACUAAAUUGAUUGGAAAUACAAAUAUAUACAAAUAUGCUGUGCAUCGCUUAAUUAAACUUUGAAAAAGUAAAACUUGAUUUUAAUAAGAAUAAUAUUGAAAUAUGGUAAUAAUAUUUUUUUUUAAAAAGAAUUUAAAUUUUAUUGUGAAAACAAAAUUGAGAAAGGGAGAGCUUCAAGGGAUUCAUGCAACUUAUAAACAAAAUAGGAUUGAAAGAGUUGCAGGAAAGUUGAAAAGUGAUAUGUCUUUGUAGAUGAAAUCAACAAAAGAAAGGAAAGACAAAGGAAGUUGGAAUGACAAUAAAGGAAAAUAAGGCUACAAUAAUUUGAUUGGUCGAAAUCAGUAAGGAAACGUGUGAAAUUGCAUAAAACCAUGGCACCAAGCAACCAAAGAAGUGGUGUUGCAGGUAGAGGAAGAAAUUAUAGUCAAAAGCCAGACAAGAAUCACAUUCAAUCUUACAAUUGUAAGAAACAUGGUCAUUAUUAUAGUGAUUGUUCAAAAAGCAGGAGUAUUAAGUAAUUUUUGCAAAGCUAGCGAAACAUGAAAAAGAAGAGAUGUUGAUGAUGGUUACAACGAGAGAUGAUGAGAGAUUCAAGAUUGGUUUAUCAACAUAAAGUCAUAAGUGAAAAACAUGGUGAAAUUUGCAAAUGACAAUACUUUAGCAAUUUCAAAUGUGUUGUAUGAAGAACAAUUUUCUUAGUUUAUGGUAGUUAGUUGAAUAGAACUACAAGGUGUCAAUCAAAGACAAGAUGGUGAGAGUUUUCAACGCAAGAUUUUGACACAUUAUGUCUGAAAAAUGGGAUUAUGCAUGAGGUGGUGUCACCUUACACUCCACAACAGAAUGAAUUCACAUAAAGGAGCAAUAGAACAAUCAUGAAUAUGGAGAGAAGUAUGUUAAAAGGUGAGCGUUUACCUAAAGAUUUAUGGGGAGAAGGUGUGUUAACUGCAACAUAUAUCCUGAAUAGAUGUUCGACGAAUAAGGUAGAAGGAAUCAUGUUAGAAGAAUUUUGGUCUGGUGUCAAGCCUAGCUUGAGUCAUCUGAAGGUGUUUGGAUCUAUAACACAUAAACAUGUGUCAACUCAGUUUAGAAGAAAACUUUAUGACAAGUCGAGUCAGAUGAUCCUGAUAGGAUAUCAUUCGACUGGUGGAUACAAGUUGUUAAACCCAGUGAACAAGCAAGUGGUGAUCAAUAGAGACGUGAUCAUAGAUGAGCUUAAGGAAUGAGAUUGGACUGAUAAUGUUAAGAAGGAUUCAGUGAGAAUCUUAUGUGAUGAACUAGCUAGUGAUGUCUAAAAAGAAAUUCGACAAGAAGUCAGAGGUGAAGCAUGCCUAAGCAGACCUCAAAGAACAAGAUACAUGCCUGGAAGAUUGCAACAAUGUGUGAUUACAUCUGAUGAUGUGGUCAAUGAAGAAAGUGAGUUGGUACACUAUUCUUUCUACGCAUAUGUCGAACCAGUCAAUGCAGCGGAGGCAUUGAAAGAUUCAAAGUGGGUGAAAGCAAUGAAUGAAGAACUUAAGUCAAUCGAAUUCAACAAUACUUGGUCACCUAUCGAAUUGCCCCAAGAUAAGAAAGCAAUCGAUGUGAAAUGGGUAUAUAAGGUGAAGUUGAAUCCCAAAGGAGAAAUGACUCGACACAAGGCAAGGCUUGUGGCGAAAGGAUUUCUUCAGAAAGAAGGAAUCGACUUCGACGAAGUUUUAACACUUGUUGCUAAGAUCGAAACAAUCAAGUUUGUUGUUGGUCUAACAAACAUGCACAAAUAAUAGAUGUGUCUGAUGGACGUGAAAUUUGCAUUCCUGAAUGACCCCUUAAAAGAAGAAAUUUAUGUUGUCCAACCAGGUGAAUUUGUGAAACAAAGCGAAGAAAGAAAGGUGUACAAGCUGCAUAAAGCUCUGUACAAACUUAAAUAAACUCCAAGACCUUGGAACAAGAUACAUAACUUUCUAAGGGAGAAGGGAUUUGUAAAGUGAAAAAAUAAACAUGGAGUAUAUGUAAGAAGAAGCAAGAGUGAAUUGCUUAUACUAUGUCUCUAUGUCGAUGACUUGUUGAUAAUGGGUAGCUACAAGAAAGAGAUCGAAAACUUCAAAGGUGAUCGCUAUCAGGAAUUUGAAAUGUCAGAUUUAGGUGAAAUUUUAUAUUUCCUUGGCAUUCAAUUCUACAAGAGUGGUAGAGGUUUGAUGAUGCAUCAAAGAAGGUAUGCAGGCGAAAUACUCAAGAGAUUUGAGAUGCAAUAUUGCAACCUAACUUCGACUCCAAUUUAGCCUAGACUACAACUGUCGAAAGAUUCAAAUGAAGAUUAUGUCGACCCAACCCAAUAUGGAAGACUUAUUGGGUCACUACGAUACCUUUGUCACAUAAGGCCUGACUUAGCAUACAAUGUAGGUAUGGUAAGUAAAUUUAUGCAGAAGCCAAAUGUAUCACAUCUAGCAGCGACGAAUAGGAUACUAAGAUAUUUGAAAGAAACUUUCAACUAUGUCAUUUUAUUUCCUACAACUGAUGAAGGAAAACAAUGCAAACUAGUGGGAUAAAUGUGGAACACUACAAAACUGAGAAUCAGAUUGCAGACAUCAUGACAAAGAAAGUGCAUAUCCAAGUGUUCAAAAGACUAAGAGCUAUGAUGAAUGUAGAUAAGUUUGACACAAUGAAUUAAAUGGUGUAUUGAAUUAUAAUUCCUUGUGUCAAAGUAGGUUGCUCGACAGAAGUAAGAAAGUGUCGAAUUACCUAGUUUGUUGAGUUGUAUUAGCGUGUCGAAGCAUGUUGCUUCAUACAUAAUUUCGACUUAGACAUAUUUUUAGUAGUGUUAACUAGUUUUGCCUCAGGGAGUAAGUUAACCUAAAUCUUUAAAUAGAAUGAGUAACCCUUAUUCUUAUAUGAAGAGAAGAAAAAACUCUUAACAUUGUAUUCACGAAAUUUUGUAAUUGCAAAGUGAAUAAAGAAAUUUUCCACAAGUUGUGAGUAAAGAGAAAACUCUACAGAAAAUAUUCUUUUUCUUAUCAAUGUUCUUUUCUUUCUUUCUCAAUUGUUAUUUUUUUAAAUUAUCAUUGCAUAGUUGAUAACAAUCUUGUUCAUCAAGAAUGAUUGAAAUUCUCUAUAGACUGUGGUGGAUUUCCAACCGUAAUUGAGAAAGAGUUAUAUGUUCAAGUUAAAAUUAACCAAAUGUAAUUAUGUUAUAUUUACAAAGUGGCAGACACACGUUACUACAUCAAUUGAUACAUUGUCACAUAUUGAUUUAUGGUAUCUUUUUUGAGUCUCAUCUCUCUUUCUAUAAUAUUCGUCCUACCUGUUUUGAUAUUUUAAAUACACAUCAAUUACUUACAGUAUUUUAUGUUAAUAUAUUGUUAAGUUAUAAUUUAAAAUCAUUAUGGACUUGGCUACGGAUGCUAAAAUCAUUUGAAAAAUAUUAUUAAAAUAAUAGUUCUUAAAAAGAAUAUCAAUAAUGAAAAUGAUCACAUAUAAUCUUUAUUCAAAUUCAUUCAUAAAAUUAUUUAUUACAUACUCAAAUAUCAUGCACUAUUUUCUUAAAUAUGAAAAGAUUGAAAAAGGAAAAAACGAUAUCAUUUUAAAUUUCUUUAUAAUUAUGUCGUUUAUUCUUCUUCAUAACUUCUCUUAAUUAUAUUUGUACACUUUUCUUUCAAUUAAUUAUAUUUUUUUUUAUUUUUUUUAGAUCUGAAGUUAUUUUUAAAAAAUUUAAACCUAUUUUUCACCCUCAUUUUAUAAAUUUCUUUUUAUAAAUGAGAUGUUUUUAAAUUUCAUAACAAUCAAUUUUUUAAUAAUAAUAAUUUAUUUGAUUUAUCUUUUAUAAGUUGAGAAAGAACUAAUAAAAAUUUAAUUUGAAUAACAUUAACUAUUAUUUUGUAAAAAAAGUUUAAUUUUUUAAAAAAAAUCACCAAAUAUUAUAAAAUAAAAUAUAACUUUAACUACACUAAACACAUAUUAGAAAAUAAAGAAAGAAAAAACAAAUAAAAGAAUUAAUAUUUAAAUAAAAAAUGAUUCGAAGAGAAUUUUUUAAACAUACUUGCAAAAAAAAAUCAAUGAUUAGAAAAUAGAGUUAAAUAUAAUGUAGAGUUGGAGAUGAAAACAAAAGAGAAAGUAAAAAUAAGAAAAUAAAAUAAAGAGUUAAAGAUGAGAAGAAAAGAGAAAACAUAAAAAUGAUCGAAAGAAGGUGGAAGAGAAAAAUGUAAGAGAUUGAAAAUUAUAAACCGUAAUGAUCUUGUGUUUCGAUUCCAAUGUAUGACGCAAAAAGUGAAUUUCUUAAAAGUAAGAUAAUAUUUUUUUUAUGGAAGAUGCAAAUAUAAAUACAAUGUGUGAAUUUUCUACUCAAAUACCCCUAAUUUAAAAAAAAAAUAAAAAAAAACAUGAUUUCAAAAAAAAUCUCAAUCUACCCCACUUUUAAGAUGAGGCGUCAGACUAAUUGGCGUCAACUCCUAAAGUUAGAGAUGAGAUGUCAAUUGGAUUGGCUACAACACAUGGUGUUGUCAAUCCAAUUGUCGUCCAUGUGUUAGUUUGUAGAGAAGGCGCUAAUUGGUCUCACGCCUCAGUGUAAAGUGCAAAUUUUUUUGUUAUAAAUAAAGUUGUUGUGUGAGUCAUGUUUCAACAUCUCAUUUCAUCAUUUUACGAACAUGUUUGGUGUUAGUCGCCGCUAUGGAAAUGUGGUUUUUUCGAGAGACAAACCUCCGAUGUUGAUGUUCUUUUAGAAUAUCACUAGUUUCGAUCAAUCGAAGAGGGAGCUAGUUCGUUGGCUAGAUGGAAAAAUACCAGAAGGGGAGAAAUUAUAAGUAUUGAGAGACUCGAUGGUAUAUUUGGUUGGGUGCGAGUCAAAACUGAUAAGGAUGUUAGGGAAAUGCUGUUUGGACGAGAUGACAUCAAUUUGAUUGUUGUAAUGAGUUAGAAAUGUUAUGUUUUAAGUUUGCUUAUGUUGUAGUGAUGUUUGUUGUGAAACUUGUUGUGACAAAAAGAUAAUGAUAUAUAAAAAUCCAAGGUUAUAAAUAUUAAAAGGAGAUACUAUCUUAUAAUAUAGAUGUUGCUCCUCGAUUGGGAAAAUUGUUUUUAUUGUGUCCUGGUUGACGGCAUAUACUAUAUAGUCUUAUCAUUUUAUCAGUCGUAUCCAUUUUUAUUCUAAUACGUGUGAUGUUUGACUGUCCUUUUUUCUUUCUUUGCAUCUCGUCGUUGUGCCAAACAAUGUCACCUUCAUAUGGAGGUUAGUAUCCCUCCAUUGGUAGCAAUGAGAAGCUUUUGUUAUACACAUUCGUGAUGGUAAUGGCCUUGUAAACAUCAAAUAGAUGGUUGUAAGCGUCCUGAUGAGUAUGUGUGUAUGCCGCAAUGACAUGGGAACAAGGAAUAGGGAAGACCUGGAACUUUCCACGGUCGCAUUAACUUUUGUUUAGUUUGACAACAUAGGGUAAAUUUAGUCUCCCCUCUUUGUGGUCCAUUAUUUCUUGUACACUGAAUAUUUGCCUAUGACGGUCAAAGACUGUUACCGCGCGUGUGCUAGCUUUGAUACUCUCCUCUUUCAUCACUUUCAUACAACACUCACUGAAUAUUUGACCCGACACUAACACUACACUCCAUCUUUCAUCUCUCGUUGCGAAGGUAAAAGCCAACCUAUAAUAGGUUGUUCUAACCAAAGCCGUUAUUGGUAGAUUUCUAAUGCCUUUGAAUAUGUCGUUCAUGCAUUCCACGAGGUUUGUUGUCAUUUGGCCCCUUCGACAGCCUUCGUCCAAUGCCCUUGUCCAAUUCUCUACCGGUAUGUUAUCCACCCAUAUUCAUGCAUCUGCAUUAGACAGUCUAAUUUCAUCACGGUCAUAUUGAAAAUACGGAUGAGUUAGAGCAUACCCAUCAUUCACCACUUUUUUACGAAUGUUCUUAUCUUUGAUUGCACGCAUGAAGUUUUAUGUGAUAUGUCUAAUGCAAUAGACAUGGGUAAAAGGAGGAUCAUGUCAUCCGUUGUCAUGGUUAUUGUAAGCACUCUCAAUGGCAUCAUGUCUAUCAGAAAUCAAACAGAGAUUGACUUGUGGAGCCACAUGUGUUCUGAGAUGUCGAAGAAAGAAACCCCAACCCCCAGCGGUUUCACCUUCAACCAGAGCAAAGACAAUGGGAAAGACAUUGUUGUUGCCGUCUUGUGCAACCGCCGUAAGCAAAGUAUUCUUGUAUUUUCCGUAUAACCAUGUUCCAUCAAUUUGAAUAUUAGGUUUGCAAAAUGCAAAACCAUGCAUAGAUCAAACUCCCAGAAGAGGCGGUGAAAGAUUCUAUUUCCAAUAACACAGGUUCCGUGUGGCGUAAAUGCUGGCAAUGUCUCCAUAAUUGCAGCAGUUCCUGGUACAUAUAUUUUCAGGGCCCAUAAAAAUCGUGGUAAUUCUUUGUAUGAAUCCUCCCAAUUGUCGAAUACUUGUUCAACAAUCUUUGUCCUUGCAAUCCACACUUUAUUAUAAGAUGGAGUAUAAUUAUAUCUUGUUCUUAUAUGAGAUAUUAUUAUACUCACCUUCACUGAUGGGUCUUUGUUAACAACCAGCAAAAUGUUUGGUUAUCUUUAUAUUUACCUUUACUAAUACAUGUAGAUAGAAUAGGAAGUUACAAUUGGGGAUCCGCUUGUCUGGCUUAUCUUUAUAGCUCUUUGUGUAAAAAUUCACACAAAGACACAUCUACCUUUUCUGGAUGUGUUGUUUUGCUCCAAGCACGGGGUUGAUCCAGACUACCGUCCCUUGCGCCCGUCAACAACAACCCUUUCACAUUCCCGUAUGCACAAAAAUAAGUUCUUUAAAAUGGACUAUAUUUACUUACUUUACCGAUUAUUAUCUCUAAAUAAUAUUUUUACCUUUAUGGUGCAGAUGGUCGACACAUGGUAUGAGUUAUAACAGAUGUCAUAGACACUAUAUUACCUAGUAUCGCACUCUCUUGGAUCACCUUCGACCGACAAGUGUAUGAAUAAUAACCUAAUUAUUUCUUAAUAAUUUGUUAAUUUCUUCUACCAAAUUUAUAAUCUAACAUAUGUUCACAUUUCAGUUCAUUUGGCGUCGAUACCUAAAUUUGGAUCAUGACCAUGAAAUCAACGAAGAAGACGCAACCAUUUGGACUGCAUGCACACUAAUCAUAAGAUUCACCACCGUGGAGAUGCACAACAGUGAUCGUGUUAAAUUGCAGUUCAGUAUGCUUCAACACAUCCCAGAUCCCCUGGCAAACCUAGGAGAAUGGCAUCUACACAAAGUUAACGACAAAUGGAACUUUAAUCCACGGGAAAGCUUCGCUAGAUCUGAGUGUUGCAAAUAGAAGCACCGCCAUGACCAUAUCUUAACUAACGUUGUGAUGCCAACUGGAAAAAAAAACAAAGUUGUAAUUAUAUGGGUUGGUACAAAUCGGCUGGUUUUGAGUUCAUCGUCGAGGAUAUGUACUUAUACGACCCACGUCACGUAACUUCCACACCAGAAGGCUUAACAUCUAACCCCUAACAACAUUGUCGGACCGACUACUCACAACCUCCUAUCCGUCAAACUUUCCGUUCCAUAAACACACAAACAUACAAGUCUAACAUGUCAUACACCUAACCUUAAUGCCAAGAGCAUACCCCGUACCACCACCAACAACUAGAUCAUUAACCAGAGACCCAACAUCGCUUCGCACCCAACACAUCACCCUGCCAAAGCCGCCUUAGCCAAAACACUCAACGAUCAUUUAACACUAAUCGUCAUUCCUCCUACCAUAGCCAAGAAGCCCAAACAUCUCAAAACCGAAACCUUCAACCACCAUAUGUCUACCAAACACCACAACAAUCUUUCCAACAUUUCCUCGACGCAUCAUUCACACCAAUGUCUCCCUUCAAUCGUCAUGGUCGCCCUCCAACAAGUCAAACACAGCCCAACUACUCAGGCAUGGGUCAUGAAUUCAGCUAUGGCAGUACACCUUCGAUGCAUACACAAGACUACGUUGAUUUGUCUGACUAUCUCAACAGACAAUCUCCUACAGUUGGUAGUGAUGUUCCUGGAUCCUCAAAUACUCAAACACCUGGGGAUGAAUCAUCAACGCGGGUUAGGGGCACGGGUUCGGGUAGCUAGGGGAUGUGGGACCGGAGGUCGGUUAGGUGAUCCCGAUCAUCAAUAUUAGUCUUUUUUGUGUAAUCGGGAAUUAAUAAUAAUAUGAUUUGAUCCGAUUUUGACUUUAUCUAUCAUGUAGACUUUUUUAAAAAAUUUUUUUACAAAACACCCAGAGGUGUCAAUCCAAUUGGCGCAUUAAGCUUUACACAUGGGCGUCAAUUGGAUUGACAACACAAUGAGCCCUAGUCAAUCCAAUCGGCGCCUCCUCUCUAAAUUUAAGAGAAGGUGUCAAUUGGUCUGACGCCUCCUCUUAAAAAUUGGAUAGAUUGAGAUUUUUUUUGAAAUCAGAAUUAUUUUAGGAUUUUUUUUUAAAUCAGAGAUAUUUGGAUAAAAAAUACACAGGGUGUUAGAGGGUAGAUGUUUGAGGUUUUUGAUGUAUAAAGUAAUGUAUUGCAGAAUGACAAAGGAAAAACAAAUGCAAUUUCUUUGGGAUCAUCAUAAAAACUUAGUUUGGAAAAACAAAUGUUAGACUUAAAUUAGCCCCAAUCCUAUGAAGUGGUCAGUUCUAUGAAGUGAUUCUUAAAAUAAACAAAGGGGGAAUAAUAAGUGUAGAUGUUUGAUUGGCUGCAUUUUGUGGUAAAACACUAACUGGACUAUAAUGUCUUGACUGAUGUCAUGACAUGCUUUGAAGAUGUGUAAUUGGCUGCAUUUUGUGUUAGAACAUCUAACUGUACUCUGAUGUCUUGACUGAUGUCAUGACAUACUUGAGCUGUGUGCUGCAGGUUUAACUAAUACAAGAUUUACUGAAUGUCAAACUAGAUGUUGUGACAUUCAUCCCUAACAACAGAUACUGAGGUUUAGAAUAGUUGGUUGUCUGCUAUAACUCAGUAUUUAUCUCAGUCUGUUUAUUCAAGGGAAUAACAGACCUGGCAUAAGGCCAUUGUGUAAAUGUCAAACUGGAUGUUUUGACAUUUAUUGCUGUAAGCUGAUAUUGAAGUAUAGACAGAUUGGUCUGCUACAGUACAACAUUUAGCACAGUCUGUUUUCAGGAAAAUAACAGACUUAGCAUAUGGUAUAUGUUCUGGUCGUCAAACUGAAUGUUGUGACAUUCAUUCCAGACAACAUAUGCUAAAAUUGUAGGAUGAUUAGUUUUUCUAUUUCAGCAUUUUUCCAGGCUAUUCUUCAGGAAGUCAACAGCUGAGCUAAAAUGCAGGAAACUAACAACUGAGCUACAUUUAAUGAACCUAACAAAUAGCCUAUUUGUUAGCACCCUAAUAUGUGGAAAUUAGGUUAACUUGCUUAACCUUAAUUUUAGGGAAUACAAGUACAAGGCCCAAAAAAUAGCCUAUUUGUUAGCACCCUAAUAUGUGGAAAUUAGGUUAACUUGCUUAACCUUAAUUUUAGGGAAUACAAGUACAAGGCCCAAGUGCUGCAAUAUAAAAGGAUGGCAAUCCUUCAUUCAGAAUUCGUGGGUUUUUGGCGUGAAGAUUUUAUUGUUCCAUUAUACUUCAUUGCUGUAUUUUUGUGUGUGUCUUGUAUUAGGUGUAUCUUAUAAGCCAAGCAAUUAUCACCUAGAUGAUUGCAUUGGACUAGGGUGUUCAUUGAGUUGUAAGUGUUGUGUCACUCUAAGCUUUUAAACGUGAGUGUUGUGUAUCUUGAUUAAAGCUGUUAAGCACAAUCAAGAGUUGUUUGAAGUGUGACUUCACCAUUUAACUUUAAUCUAAUUAAAGGUUGUAAUCACUGAGGUGAUUGAGGGGGAGUGAGUAGGAAUUCUGGUCUUAGUGUAAGAUUGAAAUUGCAUUGGGUAGGUAUUAAGUGAUAGAAUUAAACAGUUGGUUUAAGGUCUGAAUUAAUACUACUAAUAGUGGAUUUCCUCCCUGACUUGGUAGCCCCCAGACGUAGGUGUGUGUGACAUCGAACUGGGUAAACAAUUACUUGUGUUAUUUACUGCACUUACUUUUUAAGUUCUGCAUAAUUCCUAUCUGCGCAGAAUUGGAUGUCAUAACAUUCCGUAUGACAUCGAUGUUAACUAGAAUUUCAAUAAGGAUCAAAGGAACUAACACACAAAACACUAGGAAUGAAAUAUCAUGGAUAUUAACAAAAAUACACGGUUACCCUGCUUUGCACCAUAAAAUCUUACAAUGUUCAAGCAUCAUACAAUCUUAAUUGGCAAAACAACUUUUUGUCACAUGCAUGUCAAUUCCUACAUUGUUCCACCCAAUCCAGAAUCAUUAUUCAUAUUCUUUAAUACUACAUUGCAGCAACACACUUUUGAAGUCUGCAUCCUCAUUAAUGUAAAUGUACAAAAAUCCAUAACUUACCACCUAAAACUACACUAAAAUAAGAAUAACCUAUUUUAAUCUUUAGUACUACAACAAAUCAAUCCUUAUGAUUCACUCGGUUAGAGUAAUUACCACUUAGCCUUAAAAGAACCAUUCUAUCGUAACGCUGCAUUAUUCAUUUUAACUCUUGAUUAUUCAUUUUCUUAUUAAAAUUUAUAAGAAAUUAAUUAACUAUACUAGCCUAUAAAUAAUUUAAUUAUGUAAUUAGCCUAAUAUUAAAAAUCAAACAAACACAAGGUGCGGCGCCUCUCACCCAAAAAUCCGUAACCCUAAUAACCUACAACAGUUACCACGCCUAUAAAUCUCAUCUCAAACACUCUUCAUUCUCAUUCACCAGGUGCUACAGCGGCAGCUGCACAAAGCCAAGCGAAGCGUAAUUUUCCUAUCUAUUAUAUUUCUUCUCUUUCACUCAAGUUUGUGUCCUAUUAAAAAUUUGAUAUGUUUUGCUUUCUAUUAUCGUUUUAUCAUUUGGGAUCUUAGUUUUAUUAUUUGAUAUCUAUGAUACCCAGUGAAGAGGAUCUCCCAAUAAUUGAUAGGAAGUGCCGUAUGACACUCUAAACAGCAGCUCCGUCUCAGAAUCCUCUCAUCCUCCGAUAUAUGUUAUCGGCCGAGUUUAUUCUUUGCGGCGCUGUGUGUGAGAUUUGAAACGGGUCUCCUGAGGGUUCAUAAUAUACAUCUUCACAUCUUUUUGUUUUUGUUUAAUUUUUACGAAUUAGGUCCGAUGCCACGUCGGUGGUAGCUAUACCAUAGCUCUGACCUUCGAUGCUAUGAUUGGACCGAAAUCAAGAGUGAAUUUCAUUCAUUUCGCAUUCUGAUAGGAAUCUGCAAAUCUUAUUUAACGUGAUUAUGCAGAGCCGAUUUGUGCGAUUACAUUUUGUUACUUCAUGAUUUUGAUUUUUUUAAUUGAAGCUUAUGAUGAUAAAAAUAGAACUGGAAUUACCAUCUGAAUAGUUUAUUCUUUGAUGUAAAUAUCUUGGCUGUGGUACUGAGGCUUCCAUUUAUUUUCAUAUUUGGCAUUUUCUUUUAGCUUCUUUAUAUUUAGAUACUAGGUCAAGUGUUUGAUAAUUAGUUAGGCCUAUGAUGAUUCAAUUGAAUUGGAAUUACCGUCUGAAUGU
rnacentral:lncRNA from 1 species